UAAUACGUAGNUCCCGAGCGUUGUCCGGAUUUAUUGGGCGUAAAGCGAGCGCAGGCGGUUAGAUAAGUCUGAAGUUAAAGGCUGUGGCUUAACCAUAGUACGCUUUGGAAACUGUUUAACUUGAGUGCAGAAGGGGAGAGUGGAAUUCCAUGUGUAGCGGUGAAAUGCGUAGAUAUAUGGAGGAACACCGGUGGCGAAAGCGGCUCUCUGGUCUGUAACUGACGCUGAGGCUCGAAAGCGUGGGGAGCGAACAGGAUUAGAUACCCUGGUAGUCCACGCCGUAAACGAUGAGUGCUAGGUGUUAGGCCCUUUCCGGGGCUUAGUGCCGCAGCUAACGCAUUAAGCACUCCGCCUGGGGAGUACGACCGCAAGGUUGAAACUCAAAGGAAUUGACGGGGGCCCGCACAAGCGGUGGAGCAUGUGGUUUAAUUCGAAGCAGCGCGAAGAACCUUACCAGGUCUUGACAUCCCGAUGCCCGCUCUAGAGAUAGAGUUUUACUUCGGUACAUCGGUGACAGGUGGUGCAUGGUUGUCGUCAGCUCGUGUCGUGAGAUGUUGGGUUAAGUCCCGCAACGAGCGCAACCCUUAUUGUUAGUUGCCAUCAUUCUGUUGGGCACUCUAGCGAGACUGCCGGUAAUAAACCGGAGGAAGGUGGGGAUGACGUCAAAUCAUCAUGCCCCUUAUGACCUGGGCUACACACGUGCUACAAUGGCUGGUACAACGAGUCGCAAGUCGGUGACGGCAAGCUAAUCUCUUAAAGCCAGUCUCAGUUCGGAUUGUAGGCUGCAACUCGCCUACAUGAAGUCGGAAUCGCUAGUAAUCGCGGAUCAGCACGCCGCGGUGAAUACGUUCCCGGGCCUUGUACACACCGCCCGUCACACCACGAGAGUUUGUAACACCCGAAGUCGGUGAGGUAACCUUUUAGGA
rnacentral:rRNA from 1 species